rnacentral:rRNA from 1 species
UUCCUACGGGGGGCAGCAGUGGGGGAUAUUGCACAAUGGGGGAAACCCUGAUGCAGCGACGCCGCGUGGGUGAAGAAGCGCCUCGGCGCGUAAAGCCCUGUCAGCAGGGAAGAAAAUGACGGUACCUGAAGAAGAAGCCCCGGCUAACUACGUGCCAGCAGCCGCGGUAAUACGUAGGGGGCAAGCGUUAUCCGGAUUUACUGGGUGUAAAGGGAGCGUAGACGGCUGUGCAAGUCUGAAGUGAAAGCCCAGGGCUCAACCCUGGGACUGCUUUGGAAACUGUGGAGCUAGAGUGCUGGAGAGGG